rnacentral:lncRNA from 1 species
AAAAAUUCAUUUCAUUAAAAAAUAUAUCAAUUUCAUUUAUUACAUAUUCAUAAAAUGCCCAUACAUGAGAAAAAACAAAACAUUGAACUUUGACCAAGUGAUGACUUUUUGGUCAACUUUGACCAAAGUCAACCAUAUUCUCCAAAACCCUAAUUUCCAUAACCCUAAUCCUAUUCCCAUACCUAAUCUCCAUUCUUUGAUCCUUGAC